rnacentral:rRNA from 1 species
UAGUAACUGCGAGUGAAGAGGGAAUAGCCCAUCACCGAAGCCUGUGGUUAUUUGACUGCAAGGCAAUGUGGUGUUUAGGUUGGUUCCUGGCAUUACUGCUCUGCCCCAAGUCCAGCAAUGAGUACGGCAUACCGUUCUGGCCCAUAGAGGGUGAAAGGCCCGUGGGGGUGGAGACCAAGCAUGACAGUUCUGUCCAGAGCUAACCUUGGAGUCGGGUUGUUUGAGAAUGCAGCCCAAAGUGGGUGGUAAACUCCAUCCAAGGCUAAAUACUUACACGAGUCCGAUAGCAAACAAGUACCGUGAGGGAAAGUUGAAAAGUACUUUGAAGAGAGAGUAAACAGUGCGUGAAACCGCUCAGAGGUAAACGGGUGGAGUUGAACUGCGAUCCUUGGGAAUUCAGCUGAUGAGUAUGGCUUGCGCCUGGGCAUAUUGGCCGCCCUUCAGUGUCUGUAUAAUUGCAGGUGCCUGCCUGGUUGCGGGUAUGUGUGGUGCGCUUAUCAUGUGCUGCACGCAUUGGAGGGUGUAUGGUCUGCUUGUCAGUGCACUUUCUCAGGGUGUUCACCACGACCGGCACUGCUGUCUGUCUGCUGUAGUCAAACUGAUCAGGUCUGAUUAGCGUUGGGCUUGGUUGGGGUGGCAGGUGACUCACUGGUUCAUUCUAUGGGCUAUGAGUGUUACUAGCUGGCUAUGGUGGAUCUGUACGGUGUGUCGGAGACGGCGGCUAUGCAUAUGUGCUCUGUGUUUCUGGCGAGGUUGAGUCCGGUCGACUUGUUACUAGCUUCGGUUGGUCAGUUGAUGGCUUGAUCUUGUUAGUUGGCAGUUGUGUAUGUGUAUUGGUCUGGGCCAAUAGUCUGUGGUGUUGUGGUAGACUAUCCACCUGACCCGUCUUGAAACACGGACCAAGGAGUUUAACAUGUGCGCGAGUCAUUGGGUGUUACGAAACCCAAAGGCGCAGUGAAGGUAAAGGUUCGGCUUGUCCGGACUGAGGUGAGAUCCUGUUGUUUUGCCCAUAAAUACCAAGUGCGAGCAGCGGGCGCAUCACCGGCCCGUCCCAUGACGUAGACAUGUGGUCUUGCAUCAUGUGCACCGUCGGGGCGGAGCAAGAGCGUACAUGUUGAGACCCGAAAGAUGGUGAACUAUGCUUGCGAAGGUUGAAGCCAGAGGAAACUCUGGUGGAGGACCGUAGCGAUUCUGACGUGCAAAUCGAUCGUAUAACGUGAGUAUAGGGGCGAAAGACUAAUCGA